rnacentral:rRNA from 1 species
UGAAUACGAGAUGCUACGGCGUCGAAGCAGUGUAUGUCAGACUUCCAAGAAAAGCUCGCAAUGUCAUAAAUAAAGAAUGCCUGUACCAUAACCGACACAGGUGGGUAGGUAGAGUAUACUAAGGGGCGCGAGAUAACUCUCUCUAAGGAACUCGGCAAAAUAACUCCGUAACUUCGGGAGAAGGAGUGCCUUCUUUAAGAAGGUUGCAAUAACAAGAUCCAAGCAACUGUUUAUCAAAAACACAGGUCUCCGCUAAGUCGUAAGACGAUGUAUGGGGGCUGACGCCUGCCCAGUGCCAGAAGGUUAAAGAAGCUGGUUAGCAAUAGCGAAGCUGGUGACUGAAGCCCUGGUGAACGGCGGCCGUAACUAUAACGGUCCUAAGGUAGCGAAAUUCCUUGUCGGGUAAGUUCCGACCCGCACGAAAGGCGUAAUGAUUUGGAUACUGUCUCGGAGAGGGACUCGGUGAAAUAGACUUGUCUGUGAAGAUGCGGACUACCUGCACCAGGACAGAAAGACCCUAUGAAGCUUUACUGUAACCUGAAAUUGAAAUUGGACUUUAUUUGCGCAGUAUAGGUGGGAGGCGUUGAAAGUAAUCUUGCGGGAUUAGUGGAGCCAUCAGUGAGAUACCACUCCUAUAAUGUUAGAUUUCUAACUUUGGAUCAUGAUCUGGUCAAAGAACAGUUUCAGGCGGGCAGUUUGACUGGGGCGGUCGCCUCCCAAAUGGUAACGGAGGCGUACAAAGGUUUCCUCUGAACGAGUAGAAAUCGUAUCUAGAGUGUAAAGGCAUAAGGAAGCUUGACUGUGAGACCUACAAGUCGAGCAGGGACGAAAGUCGGUCUUAGUGAUCUGACGGUGCUGAGUGGAAAGGCCGUCACUCAACGGAUAAAAGUUACUCUAAGGAUAACAGGCUGAUCUCCCCCAAGAGUUCACAUCGACGGGGAGGUUUGGCACCUCGAUGUCGGCUCAUCGCAUCCUGGGGCGGUAGUACGUCCCAAGGGUUGGGCUGUUCGCCCAUGAAAGCGGUACGCGAGCUGGGUUCAGAACGUCGUGAGACAGUUCGGUCCAUAUCCGGUGUAGGCGUUAGAAUAUUGAGAGGAGCCUUCUCUAGUACGAGAGGACCGAGAAGGACAUACCUCUGGUGUACCAGUUAUCGUGCCAACGGUAAACGCUGGGUAGCUAUGUAUGGAGAGGAUAACCGCUGAAAGCAUCUAAGUGGGAAGCCCACCUCAAGAUGAGUAUUCUCAUC